AGCAGCACCGCAGAAGAAGAUUAUGAAACCAUGGUGGAGGUGACGGCAGCCUGGGGAGAGAUGUCACACCGUCCGGAGGUGUGUGUGUUCGGUGUGUGAAGCUGCGGAGCUCCGACAUGCUGCGGCUGCUCCAGCGGGCCGUGCCGCGGCCUGCCUGCCGCCUGCGGGCUCCCUCUGCCCGGGCACUCAGCGGCGGAGCCCCGGGCUCCUCCUCCGCCAGGGUCCGCAGGACUUUCCUGGACUUCUUCGAGCAGAGACACGGACACCGGGUCGUGCCGUCCAGCCCGGUGCGGCCCCGGGGGGACCCGAGCCUGCUGUUUGUCAACGCCGGCAUGAACCAGUUCAAGCCCCUCCUCCUGGGCACGGCGGACCCCCGCAGUGAGAUGGCGUCGUACCGCCGCGUCGCCAACAGUCAGAAGUGCGUGCGAGCCGGCGGCAAACACAACGACCUGGAGGACGUGGGCCGGGACGUCUACCACCACACCUUCUUCGAGAUGCUGGGCAGCUGGUCCUUUGGAGACUACUUCAAGGAGGAGGCGUGUUCGAUGGCGUGGACUCUGCUCACAGAGCAUUAUGGGAUACCUCCUGACAGGCUGUAUGUGUCGUACUUUGGCGGGGAGGCGGCGGCGGCUCUGCCGGCGGACGAGGAGACGAGGCAGAUCUGGCUCAGCCUCGGGGUUCCUGCAGAGCGCCUGCUGCCGUUCGGCCUGAAGGAAAACUUCUGGGAGAUGGGCGACUCGGGCCCCUGCGGCCCCUGCACCGAGAUCCACUACGACCACCAGGGGGCGCGGGACGCCGCCGCGCUCGUCAACGCAGACUGUCCCGACGUGGUGGAGAUCUGGAACCUGGUGUUCAUGCAGUACAACAGGGAGGCGGACCGCAGCUUGCGCCCCCUGCCCCAGCACAGUGUGGACACCGGGAUGGGCCUGGAGCGGCUGGUGAGCGUCCUGCAGGGGAAACGCUCCAACUACGACACAGAUCUGUUCAGCCCGCUGAUGGACGCCAUCCAGCAGAGGGCCGGGGUGGGGGGGUACCGGGGCAGGACGGGCGCGGCGGACCAGGGGAAGGUGGACAUGGCGUACCGCGUGGUGGCUGACCACGUCAGGACGCUGGCGGUCUGCAUUGCUGACGGCGUUAACCCCGGCAUGUCCGGAGCAGAGCUGGUGUUGCGGAGGAUUCUGCGCCGUGCGGUGCGUUUCAGUGUCGAGGUGCUGCAGGCUCCACCGGGAGCGCUAGCCAGCCUGGUUCCCACCGUCGUUCACAUCCUGGGCGAUGCGUAUCCGGAGCUGCACAGAGAGGCAGAGCGGGUCAUGGAGAUCAUCGACGAGAACGAGGCUCAGUUCCUGUCGUGCCUGCAGCAGGGCAGCCGCCUCAUGGACCGCACGCUGCACAGGAUGGACCGGCAGCAGGCCUUCCCAGCGGCGGUUGCCUGGUCCCUGCACAGGAACCUGGGCUUCCCUCUGGACCUGCUGGAGCUCAUGCUGGAGGACAGAGGGGUCGGACUGGACCGGGACGGACUCGAACGCCUCAUCAGUGAAGACAACCAGAAGCGGGGUUCUGAGCCGUCCUCGUCGUCUCAGUCUCAGGUGUCUCUGGACGUCCUCAGCCUGGCCGAGCUGCAGCGGCGUGGCGUCCCUCACACCGACGACCGGCACAAAUACGCCUACAGCCUGCAGGACGGCCGCUACGUGUUCCCAGCAUGCCGUGCGACGGUCCUGGCCCUGUACAGCGGGCAGGCUCUGGUGUCGGAGGUCAGUGAGGGUCAGCGCUGCGGCGUGCUGCUGGACCGGACCUGUUUCUACGCCGAGCAGGGCGGACAGUCACAUGACCAGGGCUUCUUCACCCGGGACGACCUGCAGGACGUGGUGUUCCCGGUGGAGGCGGUGGUGCAGGCGGGGGGGUUCGUGGUUCAUCAGGUCACGGCAGCAGAGCGCCUGCAGACCGGAGAUCAGGUGACGCUGCACCUGGACCAGGCCCAGCGUCUGGCCUGCAUGGUGAAGCACACGGCCACGCACCUCCUAAACUUCGCCCUGCGGCGGGUCCUGGGCCCCGCCGUGCAGCAGAGGGGCUCGCACGUCGCCGCCGACCGCCUCCGCUUCGACUUCAGCGUCAAGGGCAGUGUGGGCGGGGCUGAGCUGCAGCAGGUAGAGAGCUGCGUUCAGAGCAUCAUCUCAGCCAAUCAGAGGGUUUACACCGAGGAGCUUCCUCUGGAGCGAGCGCGGGCCGUCCCGGGCCUGCGCACCGUCGACGAGGUGUAUCCCGACCCGGUGCGGGUGGUGUCCGUGGCGGUGCCGGCGUCGCAGCUGCAGACGGACUCACAGACGUCAGUGGAACUCUGCUGCGGAACACACCUGCUGCACACCGGAGCCAUCCAGGACCUGGUGAUCGUGUCCGAGAGACAGAUGGUGAGGGGCGUCAGCCGCGUGGUGGCCGUGACGGGACCGCAGGCCGCACAGGCCCGGGAGACCGGCCAGGUGUUGGCACAGGAAGUGGACUCUCUGUCGGCACGGCUGUCAGGCUCCGCCCCCUCCUGCCUCGCCACCGCCCAGCGUCUCGCCAAGGAGGCCGGCGUCCUCACUGACGCGGUGGACAGUGCGCUGAUGCCUCAGUGGCAGAGGAGGGCGCUGCAGAGUCACCUGCGAGCUCUGCAGAGGAGCAGCAACACCAACAUCAGGAAGCUGGAGAGCCGCCAGGCUGCUGAGCAUGCCCAGUCUGUGCUGCAGAGGAACCGGCAGGAGGAGCUGCUGGUGGACGUGGUGGACACCGACUCGCUCUCGGUGGUGAUGAAGACGGUGAACCAGCUGAGCGCCGCCGCUCCUCACAGCCUGGUCAUGCUGCUCGCACACCAAAAGCAUUCUGGGAAGGUUCUGUGCGCCUGCCAGGUGCCAAAGGGCUCGGAGGCGCUGCCGGCCCGUGAUUGGGCGGUGGCCGUGUGUCGUCACCUGGGCGGCAGCGCCGGCGGCUCGGCGCUCGUCGCCAAGGGAACAGGAAGCAGCAGUGACAUCACGGAGGCGCUGAGGUGGGCGGAGGAAUACGCCCGCCGCAGAACGAGCCAGGAGCCUUGUUAACACACUGACCUCUCUCUCUGUGUGUGUGUGUGUGUGUGUGUGUCUCACUGUGUGUGUGUGUGUGUGCGUGUGUGUCUCUGUGUGUGUGUGUGUGUGUGUGUGUGUGUGUGUGUGUGUGUGUGUGUGUGUGUGUGU